GUAUGCUUGGUGCCAGGGUCCUUUGUGCCCGAAGAAAUCUUAACGCCGAAGUUAUCUCUAGGCGUCAAGUCUCAAUGCCAUUGUUCCCCGCCGCAACGGAGGCUCCUCUGAUUCCGCAGAUAAACACGGCAGCCGAGGGGGGGAAGCGUGACAAGUUCUCCAAGGGGGAAGAGAUCAAGUCUGACCCAGCCGAGCACCAGCACGAGCAAGGCCCCGGAGAGCGUGGCCAGCGGCCGGGCGGACCGCACCGUGCUUGGCCCUGCUCGUUGCCCUCGGCCCCCUCCGCACCGGGGCGGGGGGUCGGGCUGGCACCGGGCAGCCACGUCGGUGCCUGGCGGCCCCCUCGGCGCCGGGCUCGGCAGGCGCG
rnacentral:lncRNA from 1 species